UUUUACGCCAGAAUAUCCCUUUAACCCCAAGCAAAUGCAUGAAAAGAAACCAAUGUCAGUGUCACGUGAAUCAGGUUUUAAUGUGGCUGUACCCUAGUAUGAGCAGGAGUGGUGGUUUUUCUGAUAACUUGAUUUUAGGUAUUAGGCCUGGAUCUACGGUAACACAAAUUACCAUAUAGGUUGAGCCUGAAAUUGAUUGGACUUUUUCCUGACUUUGUUGGCCUCCUGUGAAAUAAAACUUUCUUCUCAUUUGCUCUCAAUAGCC